rnacentral:rRNA from 1 species
AUACGGAGGGUCCGAGCGUUAUCCGGAAUUAUUGGGUUUAAAGGGUCCGUAGGCGGGCCAUUAAGUCAGGGGUGAAAGUCUGCGGCUCAACCGUAGAAUUGCCUUUGAUACUGAUGGUCUUGAGUUAUAGUGAAGUUGGCGGAAUAUGUAGUGUAGCGGUGAAAUGCAUAGAUAUUACAUAGAACACCGAUUGCGAAGGCAGCUGACUAACUAUAUACUGACGCUGAGGGACGAAAGCGUGGGGAGCGAACAGGAUUAGAAACCCCAGUAGUCC